ensembl:lncRNA
UCCUGGCAAUUGUUGAAAGCAGUUAAUGCCUCCUGGGCCCUUGCAAGGGUGAAUCACGGCGUUAUGUGUUCCUUCAGGUUUUCUUUAUUAUGUGGGUAGGAUAGAAACAAUUUUCUGGCCAUCCCCAAAUGCAGAUGCAUAGCCCGUACCCACAGGUCCGCUUCCCUUCUGCUCCCCCCGCCCCCCGCCAGCCUCUGAGAAAGAACAUCUCCAGCACUCUCUGAGGCAGAAGGUGUUUCCGUCCCCACAGCAAGACCCGGUAGGGUUUUCUCUGUCCUGAAGGCGGUUGGCCAAGGAAGCUGGGUGUCUGGCUGCAUUCUGCUCUGCUUCCCUGUCUUCCUUAACUCGGCCCUUCCUGUGAUUUUCCCAUUUCCCCCUCCAACUUACUCUCAGAAAAUCCCUGGGGAAUGCAGCUUUUGUUCUAUUGCUUCACAUAAUUCCCAGGGCUGGGAAUGAAAAUUAUUUCCUUUCACAACCCCUGGCCGGGUGCCUUUCACAUCCCGGCUGUGUUAUGGGGUGAUUUAUAAACUGCGGGGUCUGGGGCUCUUUCCUCUGCCUCCUCCCCCGCUUCCCUCCCACCAUCAUUUAAAACAAGACGUUGCACACAACGUGCUCAGAGGUCAGGGUGUCCUCUGAAGUUGGCCACUGGGGCUUUUGCUCAGAGGCGAAGAUUCAGUGGAACCAUAGUGAUGAGAGCAUGAAAGCCAUUCGCCCGUGUUAGGAGAAAACAGAAAGAGGCCCCACGGCCGAACUUCUCAUCUGUGGGAACAAACAAGGCUCAGUCUCCGGGGGGAGGGGGGGGUGGCUUUGAACUGUGAAUUGUAAAAGCACAUUUUCCAAACUUGUCAGAAUUGUGUUUCAUUUCUAGACUUUUACUCUCAAAGGGACCAUGAGGAAGAGACGCAGCUUAAGACGUUUUGAGCUGAGAGAUGAAAAGUUACUUUUAUCUCCAUAAAACUGAGAAGGGGACAAAUGAAGCCGGGGGGGUUCGUUUUCCCUGUGUUACAACAGGAGACAGAAAGCAGACGGCAGAGCAUCAUCAGGGAAGUGAGGUGUCCCCGUCCAAUCUGAAGACCGUCGUCUGCCAGCCACCUCCACGGAGUCCUGUCCUGCCACUGAACCCCCUUCAGGUGUCGAUCCCUCAGAAGCUGAAACAAGACAAUGAGUAUGGAAGGGAGCCCAGAGAGAAGGCACUGGAAAAGAACUACCUCUAGGAAUGAGCCACGCAAGGAAGGAGGGAGGGAGCAGGACUCAGAGAAGGAAUGGAAAGAAGGCGGCUGAUGGAAGACCAUCUCCAGCUCAUCCUGCUCUCCCUGUGGUUUCAUUUGGAAAGGUUAGCAUCUAAGAUUUUCAAGUCAUAUGUCAUUCCUGUUUCUUUGCUUUCUUUCUUUCUUUCUUUUUUUUCUUUUUUUUUUUUUUUACACUAAUCAUUGUUCCAGAGACAUUUGAGUUCAGAAUGGGUCACGUAAUAGAUUUGCGGCUCUAGUGCUCUAGAAAUCAGGAAUGCAGGAGGAGCGCCUCACUUCAGCCUUCUGUUCCCAAAUUAAUGAAUGACUUCUUUCACCAGAAGGGACUGUUAGCACUUCAGACGUCUUCCUGAACCUGGAUCAGUGAUUAACCUUGUUUUCAGAUCCUAAAAGCAAUGGGUAGUUCUCAGCACAAAUAAUUUGCUAAGGUACUAGUCAUGAAGGAACAUAGGGGUGAUAUGCAUGUGAAAAAAUUGGGGCUACUGGGCCUGUCCCCAGUCUCUCUCCCCUGUCCCUGGCCCAGGAUGAGGUGAGAAUUUGGGAGAGGAGCCUGGAGCAUACAAGGAGGGAGAUCGUGGGGGCACCUAGAACCAGCUCACUGGGGCAACUCUGGGUGAUGUUUCAUAUGGAAUAUUCAGCUCAUGCCUCAGUUUCUCCAGAUGUAAAAAGAUAACUAUGCAAUACAUCUGCCUCCCACACAACUCAUAGAGAUGUUAUGAGAACCUAUAAGAGAAAAUCUCUACAAGAUAGUAUUGUGAGUGCCAAAAUGUGGUUUGUGUCUUUGGAAUUGUACCAGAAGUGGGGGUCACCCUAACAAAAAUACAAACCGAACCAGAAGGGGUUGGAGUUGCUAAAAUAAGGGAUUCCAGCAAAGGAAAUCUUUUUCUUUAGCUAUCCACAGGCAGGCUCUGUGUCUGAUGUGCUCCUGCUUCCAGAAAGCACCAUAAUUCCUGUGUAGCGAAGACAACUCAUCUAUUUUCUGGCUUUACCUCUCAGAAAAAAUUUUGGAAGUAAACUCAACACUAGGAAAGAAUAUCUCACAGACCCUUUAGCCUCCCUGUUAUUCAACACUUUCUCGUGUUUUCCUUCCUUCUAAUUUCUCUUCUCAAAAAGUUUUCAACAUACUCCCUCCCUCCCUGACCCACUUUGUGUCUCUUUCUCCCAUGGCAUGUUUUUCUCUCUUCUAACUAGGCUGUUUUUUGGGGUUUGUUUUUUGUUUUUUGUUUUUUGUUUUUUCUCGCUUGUGUCUUCACUGUGGUGCUCCUUCUCCUCCAUUUCUGCCUAUGGCUCCCUUGCACUUUUAUUAAACUCAUCUUCCUCUUUUUUUUCUGUCCAUGAGAAAAAACUCCCUGAUGGACAAGGAGAAAAAAAUGGCCAGCUAGCAUUGUGUUGGGAGAAUUGAGACAGAAUUAUUGAAAGCUAACGGGCCAAACACAACCUCGUCAAUUUGAGCCAAUGCUGCCUGACAAUUCCAACGAGACUUGAUCAGUAUGGAAUUGCAAGACUCUCCUGGAAUUUCUACACAUAUAUAUUCAACAUUUUACCCCAGUCCAGUUCCACACUCCAGAUGGUGGAAGAAUUUCCUUGUUUGCUGGAGAUGAAUUCUCACUCAUCAUCUUUUGCUCUUAUAAGACCAUUGCUCACAACCCCCAAGGACUGCCUAUUAGUACCAUCAUCUUGCUACAGUUAAUGCUCAUUGUGCAUAGUUGGAAAAGGUAGUGUCAUGGCUAACUAAGUUUUCUGAUUGAGAAUUCCAAUGUACAUCGUCCAUGGACUACUGAUAUCUAGAUACAUGAAAUCAUCUACACACCAAAACUCAGGUUGAACUCGGUUAGUCUUUCUUGGAAAAUUCACAGGCAACUCUAGGACUCACGGAACAUCAGGGACAUCACAGAUGUAUUACAAAUUUGCAGAAGCACAAAAUAAUUGGAGUUUCCACUCGAUGCGAUGCAAAAUGUGACUUUUGGUAUGCAGCAAACAGCGUAAGUCAUGUGGGAAACAACUAUACCAUGUCGGGCACAUUAUGUCUUCUUAAAAUUUCCCUCUUCUGUUUUGAAAUGUGCUUAAAUGUUCAAAUGAAAGAAAUUCAUGACCUCCCAAGCUACAAAACAGUGUAUGUGUGACAAGCCCAGUUUUGUAAGGAGAAGCAUACAUGUAUACACAUGCACCAUGGGACCCUCACGUACAUAAGUUUGGCAGUUAGGCCCCCAAAAUUCGGUAGUAGUCUCUCCAGGUGAUGGAAUUACGGGUGCUUUUGCUUUCUUCUUCUGAAUUUGUCUGCACUUUCUGGUUUUAAGAUAGUAAUAAUAAUUCAAUAUUUCUUCUAUAUUAUAAAUGAACAAACAAUCUUCAGUUGAGCAAACCAACACAGCCCAGGAAAGAAUUAAAAGCAGCACAGAAACCCACUUCGAUAGCUAUUAAAAAUGAAUUAAGUGGUUGUAGAAGACAUCUUCCCCUGUUUGGAAAACAACCAUUGCUUGUGCAGUGUUGUCAAAUGCCAAAUUGGGGGAUGCCAUAGCGCAGCAGUGAGAACAAAGAGGAGUUUGGGGAAAUGUUGCUGCCUUGGGAAAUAUACGUGUACUUUGUUUGGGUCACUGGCUGGUCAUUACAUACUGGACUCUAUGAGUCAUAAAGGGUAUGACAUGGGGUAAUCAGAAGGAAUUCUUACAUUUGUGAUGGCAAUAAUUCCUUGUCUGCGUUCCUCAUCUGUAUCUAACCUCCUAGAUAGAAUAAGAUGUGGGAAACUGAGUCUUGAUUUCAGUACUGAUUUUCCAUGAUGGGGGUGGGGCUUUUGGCUUGAACCUGAAGUCUGACUCUCUGUUGGGUCUUCUCAGUCGUCCUCAAGACUUCAC